AUUGAACGCUGGCGGAAUGCUUUACACAUGCAAGUCGAACGGUAGAGGGGGCAACCCCUCGAGAGUGGCGAACGGGUGAGUAAUAUAUCGGAACGUGCCCAGCCGUGGGGGAUAACGUAGCGAAAGUUACGCUAAUACCGCAUACGAUCUAAGGAUGAAAGCGGGGGAUCGCAAGACCUCGCGCGAUUGGAGCGGCCGAUAUCAGAUUUGGUAGUUGGUGGGGUAAAGGCUCACCAAGCCAACGAUCUGUAGCUGGUCUGAGAGGACGACCAGCCACACUGGAACUGAGACACGGUCCAGACGCCUACGGGAGGCAGCAGUGGGGAAUUUUGGACAAUGGACGCAAGUCUGAUCCAGCCAUUCCGCGUGCAGGAUGAAGGCCCUCGGGUUGUAAACUGCUUUUGUACGGAACGAAAAGGUCUCUCUUAAUACGGGGGACUCAUGACGGUACCGUAAGAAUAAGCACCGGCUAACUAUGUGCCAGCCGCCGCCGUAA
rnacentral:rRNA from 1 species